UACUGCUUAGAAAGAUUUUCAAUAUUUGCAUAAUAAUUCAUCAUUUCCCAUCAUUAUUACCAAUUGGGUUUGUAUUGAAUGCUUCACCAGCAUCUCUCUCUGCUUUCUAAACACUUGAUGAAGAGAUGAUCUGUGUACUGCUCCCUUUGAUCUUUGCCUUGACAGAUUCUUGCGGCCAAACUCUCUGAUUUUAGAAUUUGUUUCAGACAACUCAGAGAAGUGGCUACUUUGUGCUGUCACGCUGACCUGUGCUGAAAAGGACACCAAGAAAGAAAGGGGACUUAAAACUUAAAGGGCAGAACAUAAAACACAUCUCACUGAUAAGAACAGAAACAAAAAGAUGUUUAAACUACAGAUAAAACGAAAUGUUAAAAGACUUCUGGGUUUCAGCCACAUGAAGUCAUGGAGCUUUAAUUCUUGAUGGGCAAUCUGACAAGAGAGUCAAUGAAGUUCCAGAAAUCUGGGCUUUCUUCCAAAAAGAGAGAGCUCUGAAGGAGAACUGUCUUCUAGGGCAAAAAGAACACUGAAGUCCAUGUGUUUAUUUCAAAGGGCCACGCAGGGCCUUUUGCCCCACUUUGAGCUGAGAAAAACGGGUACUCUGGAGGUCACGUGACACAGAUGAAACAUUUCUGAUUUUAGCCACCACUCACUGAAAUGCUUUUCCUGUAUGAAACCGCUGAAGAUUUCUGACCUGCCUACUUCUGUUUCCCCAUAAAUAGAAAAGAAAAUUUAACUUUGCUGACAAAGAC
rnacentral:lncRNA from 1 species